rnacentral:rRNA from 1 species
GACGAACGCUGGCGGCGUGCUUAACACAUGCAAGUCGAACGGAAAGGCGCUGCUCUUGUGGGGUGGUGGGGAGGAGAGGGGGAGAGGAAAAUGUGAGGAAAGUGACCUGGACUUUGGGAUAAGAUAAGGAAACGGGGGCGAAGAUAGUAUAGGAGCUCCUGGGGCUGGGGGGGGGUGGGAAAGGUUCGGCGGUUGGGUCGGGAGGCGCGGGUUAUCAGCUUUUUGGUGGGGUAGUGGCUUACCAAGGCUUUGAAGGGUAGGCGGCCUGACAGGGUGGCCGGCCCCGUUCGGACUGAGAUACGGGCCAGCCUCCUACGGUAGGCAGCAGUGGGGAAUAUUGCAAAGUGGGCGGGCGCCUGAUGCAGCAACGCCGCUCGCGGGAUGACGCCCUUCCGGUUGUGAACCGCUUUCGCCUGUUACGAAGCGUGAGUGACGGUAAUGGGUAAAGAAGCACCGGCUAACUACGUG